GGCGAGGUAGCUCAGAUGGUUAGAGCGCAGGAUUCAUAACCCUGAGGUCAGGGGUUCAAUUCCCCUCCUCGCUA
rnacentral:tRNA from 2 species